rnacentral:lncRNA from 1 species
AUGUGUGUUGCAUCUCACCAGGGUGUGCAUGUGACAGAGGCCAAACCUGCCGUCAAGAGAAACCAAAAGACGGGAAAGAAACCGGCUGGGAAGAGCGGGAAGGAGGCGUCGAAGAAAAGCCACAAGUCCACAGUUCACUCCCCAGCCAGUUCCACCAGCCCGCCCGUGGGACCCCACUACCUGGACGUGCCGUACAGAUCAGACCGGAGGCCCUACCUCGGCAAGUCGUCCACCCUGCCCGCGCAGGAGAACGCGACCCCGGGCCGCUGCGCCGACAUGGCCAGCCUGCCCGGCGGCGCGACGCCCACGCACACCUACCACCAGCAGCGCUGGAGCAACCCGGGCGAGGGCAGCCCGGCCUGGGGCACCGCCCAGCACACCUGUCGCAGGCCGCUCACCGAGUACCGCGUCUACGCCCACGAGUUCGCCACUUCGUCCGACGGGAAGGAGUGGGAGGGGAGGGAGGAGCAGGCCCGGGACCACAGCUUGAGACGGGACCGUAGGCCCCCGGUUCCCCCAAAGGUGCCGCGGUCUGUCACUGACGUGGAUCUGUCAGAAGCGAACGUGAGUUUAAUGUUAAUGUGUGUUUUAUUUGUUAAACCAUUAGUCAGGUAGUCCAGCUAAAAGGUGCCUGAGUGCGAGGUCUCACUUUGUGAGGUGCUCUUACUGUGCUUGGAUGAGUCUCCUGAGGAUGCUGAAGUCACUGCAAUGUUCAAGGACGGUUCAUUCUCUCAAAACAGUGCUCACUUUCUCGUACGAUCACAGUAUUCUGGAAUCAUUACUCCAUUCCUUGUUGGCCAUGAACUGGUACCUUCCCAAUGGGUUAUCGAUGGGGGAUAAAAACCCACAGUCAUUCAUACCGUACAAAAAUGCAUUCAAAGAACCAUCCAUCCAUCGUCUACCGGUUUUAUCCAUUUAAGGGUCGCUCAACUCUGCUGCUGAUAUUACGCCACAAGCUCUGGUCAAAAAAAGGUCAUGGAGUUUUCCAUAAUUGUAAUGGGAAAAUUGAUGCAGUUGAAACCAGGAAGACGGAGACCGUGGACGUCAGAAGCAGAAGCUCUCUUCCACUAGGAUGUCAAGAUCAGAGGUCACACAACGUGGAGCCGUUUGACCUCUGGGGUCGGCGCCUUUGCGCGCACAUGACGUCGCUCGGGGCUUAGACGUCCCGAUGAGCACGCGCGGUGUCACACAAAAGCGGCUUAACAUGACUCGGGAGAAAAUUGUCUCCGAUUGACGAGGAUGAUCCGGUGCGGGGAUAGAUUACAAGAUCCCCUAUGGAUCUAUACGGUGUCAUUGGUUCUUUAAGUCGUAAAGCCGCCAGCGAUGGUGAUCGAGUUCAAGACUCGAUCUUCAUGCGCGGAACGGAAAGGACGUUGGCUCUGUUCUCCUCUCAGUGAGAAUAUAUAUAUAUAUAUAUAUAUAUCAGCCUCCGUCAGCGAAUAAGACGAACCCUCCCCUCGAAAUACACGUCGACAAAGUCCAGGUGACUUUCAUGAACGAUAGAAAAACUCAUUUCGUCCUCUCAAGAUGAACAACUCGCCUCGCCCGGCGGUCAGGAGCCUUUAGAAGAAAUAGAUCAGCAGCCCUAAUGUGGACUGACAGGAGUUCUACGGCGGAUUGCGAGCAGCGGGAUUAGCUGUUAUUGUCUGUAGAAUUCCCUUUUUCUACAUCCGAACAAUUCAGAACUGAUGUAAACACAGCGGCAAAUCCCCACAACAUGGCGACACGGGCGCCGUGACACGAGCGGGUGUCACGGCGUUCAGCUGCUUCACUGCGGCGGCCAUGUUUUGUGAAGAAGCGAACAGGUGGCCAUUUUAUCAAAUGCUCAUCCUUUUGACGUAUGAAUGGGAUAUACAGCGUUGGACCUCCGUACUGAGCAGCGGAAAGAAGGUUUCGACACAACAAAGUUGACGCUCUCUGAUGUUCCUCCGUCGUACGUCAGCACUUCCUCAAACGCUCUCUCGCCAUGAAGAAAUAAAUGCAAACGAACAAUUACCCCAGCAUCAUGUACAGAAGCCGAGUUCCCCGUCGCUGACAAAACACAAAUCCUGAGGGUUACUGUACUUGGAAAAAAGGGUUUGAAUCAAAAAUAUCUUUUAUAUUUGACAUUGUUGUCUUCCCGUUUCGUCCUAUUUGAAAACAACCUGCUUUUACUGUGAGGUUCGGGGAGACGCAUCCUGAGACAGAUCCACAUCCUCUACAGUCAUUUUAAAGUAAUAUUUUUGACAUGACCGACCACAGACGUGUGGCACAGUAGCCAGAAAGACACCAGCUCCUCACCAGGACGCCUCUCGCAUCAUUAACAGAGAAAAACACAGCACGACAUUUACCAAAACCUGAACGCAUCCGUUCCUGGAAGUGGAUGUCGGCCGCGAAAAUGCACGCUCAAGCAUUUUUUUUUUUUCGUUGUUGGUGAUUUUCCCCUUUUCGAAGCGACGCUGCAAACGCAGCCGCUCGAUCGCCGGUUGCCUCACAUCCUGUGUGCUGUGAGGAAGUGGGCCAGUCAGUCGGCUCCGCCAGCCUCCAUCAGACAGACGCGGCACAGAGUCGGUUCACACUUCGCUGUCAGGCCAGCAACACGGGGGCUGAAGGACAGAGAAGAGCUGGGGUGAACUGAGAUUUGAUCAGGAAGUAAU